rnacentral:tRNA from 1 species
GAAUAAGAAGCGAAUAAUUGCAAACAGUUUCGACCUGUUAAAUUGGUAAUAUUUACCCUUAUUUU